UUAAGGGGGUACUAGGCUAAAAUUCAAAGAGACAAAAGAGACUUGAAAGAAACUGCGGGAGUUAAAUUUACAAAAGAUUUCAUUCACUUCAACAACUGUAUAGCAACUGUUUUCUCUUCUCCUUUCUCUUUUUAUUUCUUUUUAUUUCUUUUUCAGAAGGAGUAUGUAUUUACAUCCUUCUAUUUUUUUCAUUCAUUCUUUUUUUUUCUUUUCUUUUUCUGCCAACUUCUAAAUAUUACAAACAUAAUUAUUCAACCCCACACAACUCUAAAUAAGACUCUUUCAAUCCUUUAAAUAAGGUGAUAACAUUGUUUUUCACUUCUAGGUUUGUAAUGAGUUUUAAACAAAAAAAAGGAUAAUAG
rnacentral:lncRNA from 1 species